GGCGGACGGGUGAGUAACGCGUAGGCAACCUGCCCCAUACAGAGGGAUAGCCUCGGGAAACCGGGAUUAAAACCUCAUGACACCGAGGAUCCACAUGGAACUUCGGCCAAAGAUUCAUCGGUAUGGGAUGGGCCUGCGUCUGAUUAGCUGGUUGGUAGGGUAACGGCCUACCAAGGCGACGAUCAGUAGCCGACCUGAGAGGGUAAUCGGCCACAUUGGAACUGAGACACGGUCCAAACUCCUACGGGAGGCAGCAGUGGGGAAUAUUGCACAAUGGGCGAAAGCCUGAUGCAGCAACGCCGCGUGAGCGAAGAAGGCCUUUGGGUCGUAAAGCUCUGUCCUUGGGGAAGAAACAAAUGACGGUACCCGAGGAGGAAGCCCCGGCUAACUACGUGCCAGCAGCCGCGGUAAUACGUAGGGGGCGAGCGUUAUCCGGAAUUAUUGGGCGUAAAGAGUGCGUAGGUGGUUUUUUAAGCGUGGGGUGAAAGGCAAUGGCUCAACCAUUGUAAGCCUUGCGAACUGGAAGACUUGAGUGCAGGAGAGGAAAGCGGAAUUCCUAGUGUAGCGGUGAAAUGCGUAGAUAUUAGGAGGAA
rnacentral:rRNA from 1 species